rnacentral:misc_RNA from 1 species
AAGUCGUAACAAGGUUUCCGUAGGUGAACCUGCGGGAGGAUCAUUAACACGUAUCCAACGUUAAACCCCCUGUGAACCUUCAUUGUACGAGUUACAUCCACGUCAUAAACCGGCAAUCUCUGGUAAAUCAUCGCCGAACAGUUUUGAUUCAGAGACCUCUGGGAAGGGUGUACGGUAGUGCGAGGCAAUUGACCUGGCAUUCCUCUGCUCUGGUCGCCGGCCGUGUCGGCCUCCAGCGAUCGUUACCGCCAUCCGUACAUAGCUAGUGACACUUUCAGACACUGGCUACGGCCCCCCUGAUCACAACCUUUGCAUGAAAACGGGCCUGCGCUGAGGUGCGGCCACCCCUAAUGCUUGAACAACUGUUAACAAUGGAUAUCUUGGUUCUC